CGCAACAUGCAUCCCAUUGGCAGGCACGGCCGGGACGGCAUGCAUCUGGACGGACAAUCGCGACGACAGAGUUCAUCUGCCCUGACGAUCUCCGCUACGGCCAUGCGGGAUGCAUCUCUGGUUCCGAACGCCCUUUCGGCAGGAUGGAAAAAUCUUUGUCACGUGAUACGCCGCAACUGCUUUUGGCGGCUCCUGCUGUUAUGGAUGUCCAAUAUGCAUCAGCAGUGAUCCAUAGUUCAAGUGCUGAUCCUGAGUAUGCCUCUGCAUCUAGCCGGUUGGAGGCCCAUCUCAGUUUCCUGUUAUGGCUGUAGAAAAUACUACUACUGCAGAAUACGAAUCAGAUUUCAGUACUGUACAUGGAGCUUCAGUGCAGCUAUAGAAUUAGGCAAAAGCCUGGAAACUCAAGUGAAGGAGGGAGAAUUUGCUACCCCAAGAAAGAAAGAAAGCAUUCUUCUAUUUAGAUGUGACGAGAAGUUGAAGCCAGUAGGGAUGACAUUUGAAGGCCUUGAGGCCGUGGAGGAGUUCUACAAGUCAUGCACAUCAUGCGGGUUUUGGAGUUCGUGUUGGACAGCAAAAAAAGUUGGACAAUGAUGUGGUUCGGACAAAGUGUUUCAUGUGCAAUAGGGAAGGAUUCAGGUCUGAGAAGAGCAAGGAGAUUAAAGUUCAAGGCAAGGGGACCGAGAUUGUG